rnacentral:miRNA from 12 species
GUGAGCUGGGAAGAGGAAGAGAGGGCCUAAGAGCAGUGGGAAUGGGAACAUGGAGGAAAGCCUAUCCUGUUUGUUUCCUCCUCCAGAAACAGAGGUGGAAGCUUGGUCCGGUGUUUCCCAAUGCCUCCCAUUCCUAUUGUUCUUAAGUGCUCCAUCCUUUUCCUUUUGGCU